rnacentral:rRNA from 1 species
UUAAUUGAAGAGUUUGAUCAUGGCUCAGAUUGAACGCUGGCGGCAGGCUUAACACAUGCAAGUCGAGCGGUAGCACAGGGGAGCUUGCUCCCUGGGUGACGAGCGGCGGACGGGUGAGUAAUGUCUGGGAAACUGCCUGAUGGAGGGGGAUAACUACUGGAAACGGUAGCUAAUACCGCAUAACGUCGCAAGACCAAAGAGGGG